rnacentral:lncRNA from 1 species
GUGGCUCCCAUGGAAAAAGCUUGUGGUGAAGGAGGACCAAAAAAACAAAAAGAAAUUCACUCCUGACUGGAGCCACCACAUAGAAGAUAGCGUGUAAAUGCUACCAGGUUGGAGCAGUUCCUCUAGGAGAGACUCAAGGUGAGCAGGAAAGCUUGGAAUCUUGGUGGAGGGGUUGUGACCAUCGAAGUGAGCAAGAACAAGACCUCUGUCACUUCUGAAGAUGUCUUUCUCCAAAAGGCAUUUGAAAUGUCUCACCAAGAAGUAUAUGAAGAACUAGCUUCAAGACUGGUUGUGUUUUGUCGCCAACAGCAAAGAGAGCUAUGAGCUAUGUUACUUCCAGAUCAACCAAGAUGAAGACGAUUAAGAC